AAAGAACAGAAUGAAACGAAACAGAGAGCAGGGGAGAAAAAAGAAAGAAAGAAAAGAAAGAAAGGGGGAAAAGGGAAAAUUGAAGGUUUGAAGCUUUAAGCUUUAAUAGGUAAGUCAAUAAAGUCCUUUUUACUUAAUUUUGAUGUUUUAGAAGUUUCAGAACAAAGUUUUGAUGAAAUUAAGUUGAUAUUUUGAAAGUUAUUAGAUUUCUAGAUAUUAUCCAUGUUAAAUAAAAUGAUGAAUUAAGGGCUAAAUUGAUAGAAAUUCAAGUUAGAAAUGAUAUAAGGAUUGAAUUGUAAAGUGAUUCAUAAGUUUUAUGCUUUAAGGACUAAAUUGAAAGAAUUUCAAAAUUAUGGUUUUAUGAUGAAAAAUAGAAAAUUAUGUCUAAGUUUGGUUAAAGAUUGAGUAGAAGUAAAGUAUGAAUUAAGAUAGAAAAGCAAGUGAAUUUAGUUAGGAUUAAAUUGAAAUUAAAAGUAGAAAAUCAACAUUUUGCACUAAGACUAUUUUAGACAGCAGCAGUAGUCUAAGUUUGAAAAAUCACCAAAACUUGUAGAAAUUGAAUUAGAGGAUAAAUAAAAUACAGAAUUAAAUCUUAUUGAGUCUAGUUUCUUAUAGAAGAAACGGUAUAAACAAUUGAAUUGUAAAUUAUGAGAUAUAAUGAAUUUUGUGAGACAAGGUUAGAAUGAAUUCGGGUUCCCCUGUUUUGACUUUUGAAAAUCACCAAAAAAUGGAUAAAAAUAAUUAGAGGCUUAUAGUUAUAUGUUUAGAAUUCCUAAUGUGUCUAUUUUCAGGAGUAAUCAACGGUAAUAUUAUCCAAGUUUUUUACUGUGAGAUGAUUAAUUUUUAGUGAAGAAUGGUUGAAACUGUCAGACAGUAGAACAGGAGUAACUUUAAAGAAUAAACUGUACUUAUUGGCUAAACAAAAAAUUCUAAAAAUUUUAUGGUAAGAAGAUAUAUGAGACUAGUUUCAGGAAAAAUUAGCGGAUCUUAAUUUGGAGUUUUAUAGCUCCAGAUAUAAAUAAUUUAGUGACUAUGAUACAGAUGGAUAGCUUGAAUAUCCAUAAAAGUAAAUAAUAAAAAUUAUAGAUAAUGUUACUUACAAGUGUGUUAUAUACAUUAAGGAUGUGGAAUGGAGAGGAGGAGGAGGAACAUAUAUAUGAAUAUUCAGUUAGUAUGGCUAAUUUGCAUGUUUUAAGCUCAUGGACUAAAUUGAAUAAAAGUAAAAUUUUAGGGGGCAAUUUUGUAAAAAUGUCAAAAAUGACUAAAUUGAAGGGAGUGAAUUGUUUUAUUAUCUAAAUUAAUAAAUUGAAUGAAAUUAUCAAUUUAAGAUUGGGUGAAAUUUGGAAAAAUGGUAAAUUACCAAUAUGCCCCUAAAUCUUGGUAUUUCUGCAAUUUAGUCAGGUAAGUUCGUAUAUCCUGAAUGAGUAUGUAAAUAUGACAAUUUAAGUAUUGUAUCGUAUUUUAUAUGAUAUUUUGAAUUGAAUAUAUGAAAAGGAUGUUACAUGAAACAUGAAAAUGAAUACUAAAUAAUAUAAAUUACUUAAUAAUUAUUUUGAAAAUCUCGGUAAUGCCUCGUAUCCUAUCCCGGUCUCAGGUACGGGUAUGGGGUAUUACAUUUUGUAAUGCCUCUGUUUCCCUGCCAUCUUCAUUUAGUAACUUAUGAACGAGAUUUUUUCUUGUUACGUUGUGUUGCAUGACUGUGAAAAAAGGCUAUUUUUUAUCUCCAAAUUUCAGCCAGUUCAGUCGAGCCCUCUGUUUCCAGUAGCGUUCAUCCUUUUCAAUCUCGAAGUUUAAAUGUAUUUUUAUGUCGAUCAACUCAGCCAAAUUAUUAUCAUCUCUAUCGACUUCAUAUAGUUUUGAUAACUUAGCCGUAAGAACCUGCUUCCUCUUCUUUCGAUUCCUAUGGAUUUGUCAAGCCCAUUUUUCCAAACCCUUCUUCAAGUUUUCUAAAUUUUGCAUCAAGUCCCCUAAAGACAUCUCCCAAAUUCUAUUAACUUCAUUAAGGAAAGAUCCCUCCAACGACCACUAGGCUUCAAAUUUAAAAGUUCUAUUCUUCAAGGGUCCCAUUUCGAUACUUGCAUUGAUUAAGAGAGGACAAUUGUCUGAAAAAGAAUGCACUAAAUGUUACACUUUCACCUCCGAAAACAUGGAUACCAAUCUAGCAUUAGCCACUCCUCUGUCCGGCCUUUCAUGUAUAUUCGUCUCUGAAAGAUUGCCCCUUUCCCAUAUGAACCAUCUGCCAAAAUAUCUUACAUUAAUAAGUUAGCAUUCCUCCAGAGUUCUGCGAAAUAAAUCCAUUCUUCUUUCAUCCCUAGGAAACCCUCUUUGUAACACCCCAAACCCGGCCCAGACAUUAUGACCGGAUCCGACAUGCCACAUCGAAGCGUUCAAAACAUUUUAUAUUGUUGAUCCAGAAAAAACUUACUUAGUGUUUUAAAAGAUAAUUUCAUUAUAGGUUAAAGUGAAUGGAAGCUGUGCACCAGGUAGGAAACCAGAAAAGAGGUGGUGAGUCCAUCGGAUUGCUUAAGUACCAAGCUCCCUUCGGAUCCAAUCCUAGACAUGCAUACCGCCAUUGC
rnacentral:lncRNA from 1 species